rnacentral:rRNA from 1 species
UCCCUACGGGGCGCAGCAGUGGGGAAUAUUGCACAAUGGGGGAAACCCUGACGCAGCGACGCCGCGUGAGUGAGGAAGUAUUUCGGUAUGUAAAGCUCUAUCCGCAGGGAAGAAAAUGACGGUACCUGUCUAAGAAGCCCCGGCUAACUACGUGCCAGCAGCCGCGGUAAUACGUAGGGGGCAAGCGUUAUCCGGAUUUACUGGGUGUAAAGGGAGAGUAGACGGACUUGCAAGUCUGAUGUGAAAAUCCGGGGCCCAACCCCGGAACUGCAUUGGAAACUGUAUAUCUAGAGUGUCGGCGAGGG